rnacentral:snRNA from 1 species
UUGGAUAGAUUUCGUGCUAGGU